rnacentral:rRNA from 1 species
UACAGAGGGUGCAAGCGUUGUUCGGAAUUACUGGGCGUAAAGGGCUCGUAGGUGGCCAACUAAGUCACACGUGAAAUCCCUCGGCUUAACCGGGGAACUGCGUGUGAUACUGGAUGGCUUGAGUUCGGGAGAGGGAUGCGGAAUUCCAGGUGUAGCGGUGAAAUGCGUAGAUAUCUGGAGGAACACCGGUGGCGAAGGCGGCAUCCUGGACCAAUACUGACGCUGAGGAGCGAAAGCCAGGGGAGCAAACGGG